rnacentral:rRNA from 1 species
UACGGAGGGAGCUAGCGUUGUUCGGAAUUACUGGGCGUAAAGCGCACGUAGGCGGCUUUGUAAGUUAGAGGUGAAAGCCUGGAGCUCAACUCCAGAAUUGCCUUUAAGACUGCAUCGCUUGAAUCCAGGAGAGGUGAGUGGAAUUCCGAGUGUAGAGGUGAAAUUCGUAGAGAUCCGGAGGAACACCGAAGGCGAAGGCAGUGUCCUGGCGAGUGACUGACGCUGAGGUGCGAAAGCCAGGGGAGCAAACGGG